GCCAGGUGUGGUGGUGUACACCUGUAAUCCCAGCAGCUUGGGAGACUGAGGCAGGAAGAUCACGAGUUCAAAGCCAGCCUCAGCAAAAAGCGAGGCACUAAGCAAGUCAGUGAGACCCUGUCUCUA
rnacentral:sRNA from 1 species